UACGUAGGGCGCAAGCGUUGUCCGGAUUUAUUGGGCGUAAAGAGCGUGUAGGCGGCCAUACAGGUCAGCUGUGAAAACUCGAGGCUCAACCUCGAGACGUCGGUUGAAACCGUUUGGCUAGAGUCCGGAAGAGGAGAGUGGAAUUCCUGGUGUAGCGGUGAAAAUGCGCAGAUAUCAGGAAGAACACCCGUGGCUAAGGCGGCUCUCUAGUACGGUACUGACGCUGAGACGCGAAAGCGUGGGGAGCGAACAGG
rnacentral:rRNA from 1 species